CACACACUGCCCCCCAUACACACACUCUACACACUUACACUACCCGAUACACACACACUGCCGCCCCAUACACACACAUACACUGCAAUACUCACACACACUUCAACUGUUACACACACAUACUGUCCCACACAUACACUGCCGCCCUCACACACACACACUGCGCACACACUGUCCCCCUCACACACACACACACUGCACCACUCACACACACCACUUCUCCUAUGCCUUACUACUGCCCCAUUUCCCAGCAGACCUCAGGUAAGUUGUCAAACUGUUCUUAAACGGUUUGACUACUUACU